GGAUGCAAUAUACCUUCUAGGCUUCUUUUGGUGACUGGACCAGAGAGGAGUUAAUCAGCUCCCUUGAACUUGCCCUAACCAUGAAGGCUUGGUGUGUCCUCCUUUUCCUCACCUUUGUGAUUCUUUCUGAUCUGGGUGAAGCAGUGAGGAUAAUGGAUUCGAGAACAUGCCUGAUAAAUAAAGGAGUUUGCAAAAAGUCAUGUCCUGAUCAUCUGACAAAGAUAGGACUUUGUCAUGUCAAUGAGCCUUGCUGCAAAGCGUAAGGAAAAGCUAAAGGAAAGACGUGUGAUCAAGACAUGGAAAAACCAUCAUCUUCUACAUGAAUGCCUGAUAGAACAUGAGAAAAAUUUAAAUUUUUAAAUUUAAAAACAUAAGAAAGAUCCGGCUGUUUUGAAUGCUUUCAAACAAUUAUUCUAAUUAAAAUAAUCUGGCUUUACUAA